rnacentral:tRNA from 3 species
UGGGGAUUGGCCAAGUUGGUUAAGGCACCGGAUUCUGAAUCCGGCAUGCGUAGGUUCGAGUCCUACAUCCCCAGCCA